rnacentral:ncRNA from 1 species
AAGAUGUAUGCUCAUGCUCGCUGUCGCCGCAGGGGAAUCCGGUGUGAGUCCGGAACUGUCCCGCAACGGUGUACCCGUGCGUUCGCGCACGGGCGUCAGUCCGAGGACCUGCCGACAGUGCGCCCAGGCC